rnacentral:hammerhead_ribozyme from 1 species
AUCCAGUUGACGAGUCCGAAAUAGGACGAAACGCACGUUCUGCAA